rnacentral:rRNA from 1 species
UACGGAGGAGGCAAGCGUUAUCCGGAAUUAUUGGGCGUAAAGCGUCCGCAGGCGGCACUUCAAGUCUGUCGUCAAAGACUGGGGCUUAACCCUGGAAAGGCGGUGGAAACUGAAGCGCUAGAGUGCGGUAGGGGUAGAGGGAAUUCCCGGUGUAGCGGUGAAAUGCGUAGAGAUCGGGAAGAACAUCGGUGGCGAAAGCGGUCUACUGGACUGCAACUGACGCUCAGGGACGAAAGCUAGGGGAGCGAAUGGG